rnacentral:rRNA from 1 species
GACGAACGCUGGCGGCGUGCUUAACACAUGCAAGUCGAACGGAAAGGCCCUGCUUUUGUGGGGUGCUCGAGUGGCGAACGGGUGAGUAACACGUGAGUAACCUGCCCUUGACUUUGGGAUAACUUCAGGAAACUAGGGCUAAUACCGUAUAGGAGCUCCUGCUGCAUGGUGGGGGUUGGAUAGUUUCGGCGGGUGGGGAUGGACUCGCGGCUGAUCAGCUAGUUGGUGGGGUAGUGGCUCACCAAGGCGACGACCGGUAGCCGGCCUGAGAGGGUGAUCGGCCACACUAGAACUGAGAGACGGUGCAGCCGCCUACGGGAGGCAGCAGUGGGGAAUAUUGGACAAUAGCCGCGAGCCUGAUCCAGCCAUACCGCGUGGGUGAAGCAGGCCUUCGGGUUGGAAAGCCCUUGUGUUGGUAAAGAAAAGCAGCAGGUGAAUACCCCGCGGUUCUGGCGGUACCCAAAGAAUAAGCACCGGCUAAAUUCGUG